rnacentral:misc_RNA from 1 species
GAUGAAGAACGCAGCGAAAUGCGAUAAGUAAUGUGAAUUGCAGAAUUCAGUGAAUCAUCGAAUCUUUGAACGCACAUUGCGCCCGCCAGUAUUCUGGCGGGCAUGCCUGUUCGAGCGUCAUUUCAACCAUCAAGCCCCCGGCUUGUGUUGGGGACCUGCGGCUGCCGCAGGCCCUGAAAACCAGUGGCGGGCUCGCUAGUCACUCCGAGCGUAGUAAUACAUCUCGCUCAGGGCGUGCUGCGGGUUCCGGCCGUUAAAAAGCCUUAUUUACCCAAGGUUGACCUCGGAUCAGGUAGGAAGACCCGCUGAACUUAAGCAUAUCAAUAAGCGGAGGA